GGGUUUUAGUGGGUCUGGAUGUCCCGGUAUCCGGACAUCAAUCCCACACUCCCCAUUGCAAAGGUUUUGCAAUGGGCGUCUUUUGAAGAUUUCCC
rfam:Asian citrus Psyllid, Diaphorina citri - Florida Strain, whole genome shotgun sequence.